rnacentral:rRNA from 1 species
UACGAAGGGGGCUAGCGUUGCUCGGAAUCAGCUGGGCGUAAGGCGCGUAGGCGGCCGUUCAAGGCGCGGUGAAAGCCCGGGCUCAACCCCGGGUCGGCCGUGUCGACUGGAGGGCUCGACGCUCUGUAGGGCGGGUGGAAUUCCGGUGUAGCGGUGGAAUGCGUAGAGAUCCGGAAGAACACCGGUGGCGAAGGCGGCCCGCUGGGCUAACACUGACGCUCAUGCACGAA